rnacentral:rRNA from 1 species
GAUGAACGCUAGCGGCAGGCCUAACACAUGCAAGUCGAGGGGUAGAAUUAGCUUGCUAAUUUGAGACCGGCGCACGGGUGCGUAACGCGUAUGCAAUCUACCUUGUACAGGGGGAUAGCCCAGAGAAAUUUGGAUUAAUACUCCAUGGUAUAAUUGAAUCGCAUGGUUUGAUUAUUAAAGUUCCAACGGUACAGGAUGAGCAUGCGUCCCAUUAGCUAGUUGGUGUGGUAACGGCAUACCAAGGCGACGAUGGGUAGGGGUCCUGAGAGGGAGAUCCCCCACACUGGUACUGAGACACGGACCAGACUCCUACGGGAGGCAGCAGUGAGGAAUAUUGGUCAAUGGUCGGAAGACUGAACCAGCCAUGCCGCGUGCAGGAAGACGGUCCUAUGGAUUGUAAACUGCUUUUGUACGGGAAGAAACACUCCUUCGUGAAGGAGCUUGACGGUACCGUAAGAAUAAGGAUCGGCUAACUCCGUG